rnacentral:rRNA from 1 species
GGCUCAGGAUGAACGCUGGCGGCGUGCCUAACACAUGCAAGUCGAGCGAGGCUUUUAUUAGGAAAUCUUCGGAUGGAAUAGUAAAAGCUUAGCGGCGGACGGGUGAGUAACGCGUGGGAAACCUGCCCUAUACAGGGGGAUAGCCUCGGGAAACUGGGAUUAAUACCCCAUAAAGCUCUAAUACCGCAUGGUAUAUGAGUCAAAGCUCCGGCGGUAUAGGAUGGUCCCGCGUCCCAUUAGCUAGUUGGUGAGGUAACGGCUCACCAAGGCGACGAUGGGUAGCCGGCCUGAGAGGGUGAACGGCCACACUGGAACUGAGACACGGUCCAGACUCCUACGGGAGGCAGCAGUGGGGAAUAUUGCACAAUGGGCGAAAGCCUGAUGCAGCGACGCCGCGUGAGCGAAGAAGGCCUUCGGGUCGUAAAGCUCUGUCCUAAGGGAAGAAAAAUGACGGUACCUUAGGAGGAAGCCCCGGCUAACUACGUGCCAGCAGCCGCGGUAAUACGUAGGGGGCGAGCGUUAUCCGGAAUUAUUGGGCGUAAAGGGUGCGUAGGCGGCCUUGUAAGUCAGGUGUGAAAGGUCACGGCUCAACCGUGGUAAGCACUUGAAACUGCAGGGCUUGAGUGCAGGAGAGGAGAGUGGAAUUCCUAGUGUAGCGGUGAAAUGCGUAGAUAUUAGGAGGAACACCAGUGGCGAAGGCGACUCUCUGGACUGUAACUGACGCUGAGGCACGAAAGCGUGGGGAGCAAACAGGAUUAGAUACCCUGGUAGUCCACGCCGUAAACGAUGAGUGCUAGGUGUUGGGGUCGACAGGCUUCAGUGCCGCAGUUAACACAUUAAGCACUCCGCCUGGGGAGUACGGUCGCAAGACUGAAACUCAAAGGAAUUGACGGGGGCCCGCACAAGCAGCGGAGCAUGUGGUUUAAUUCGACGCAACGCGAAGAACCUUACCAGGGCUUGACAUCCCUCGGACCGUUCUAGAGAUAGGACUUUCCCUUCGGGGACUGAGGUGACAGGUGGUGCAUGGUUGUCGUCAGCUCGUGUCGUGAGAUGUUGGGUUAAGUCCCGCAACGAGCGCAACCUUGCCUUUAGUUGCCAUCAGGUAAAGCUGGGCACUCUA